rnacentral:rRNA from 1 species
GGGGGACAACCGCGGGAAACUGCGGCUAAUACCGCAUGACGACUAUGGUCCAAAGGCCGAAAGGUCGCCUGAGGAGGAGCCUGCGUCCGAUUAGCUAGUUGGUGGGGUAAGAGCUUACCAAGGCGAUGAUCGGUAGCUGGUCUGAGAGGAUGAUCAGCCACACUGGGACUGAGACACGGCCCAGACUCCUACGGGAGGCAGCAGUGGGGAAUAUUGGACAAUGGGCGCAAGCCUGAUCCAGCAAUGCCGCGUGUGUGAAGAAGGUCUUCGGAUUGUAAAGCACUUUCGGCGGGGACGAUGAUGACGGUACCCGCAGAAGAAGCCCCGGCUAACUUCGUGCCAGCAGCCGCGGUAAUACGAAGGGGGCUAGCGUUGCUCGGAAUGACUGGGCGUAAAGGGCGCGUAUGCGGUUUGAACAGUUGGGCGUGAAAUUCCAGGGCUUAACCUUGGGACUGCGU